GGGAACUUUAGUGGAAAGACUAGAAUUGGCUGUCCAUACCUAGUACUCAUAUUUGUUUGUUACAUGGACCACAUCCUUGGUGCCUUUAACUUCCGAUUAGUUUAGCUAAACGUCUUGAACUACAAUAAUGGAAAGAUUAGAAUUGGUUAUCCAUACCUGGUACUCAUAUUUGAUAGUUGCAUGGACCACAACCUUGGUGCCUUUGGAACUUCCGAUUAGUUUAGCUAAACGUCUUGAACCACAAUAGUGUGAACUGUAGUGGAAAGACUUAGAAUUGGCUGUCCGCACCUAGUGCUCUCAUAUCAGAUACUUACAUUGACCACAACCGUGGUGCAAUUGGAACUUCCGAUUAGCUUAGCUAAACGUCUUGAACUACAAUAGUGGGAAUUAUAGUGGAAAGACUAGCAUUGGCUCUCCAUACCUAGUGUUCUCAUAUCAGAUACUUACAUGGACCACAUCUUGGAUGCAAUUGAAACUUCCGAU
rnacentral:lncRNA from 1 species